CUGGCUGACUCACUUCUUCUCUUGCUGGAUUGGCAUGUUGCAAUACUUCCCGCUAAGGAGCAGCAUAGUUGCUCUGUCUUGGAAGCAGAGCAAGGACUUGGAUUGUCCCUGAGCUGUCUGUCACUCUGUGAUCUAUUCCUCUUUGACAGCCCCAUCACCGCCUUCUAGUAUCUUGGGGUCUCUUCUUUUGCUGCCAUCAAACUCAAGGAGACGGCAUUCAGGAAGUAAAGACAAUGAAAGAGCUUUAAAGGUGACAACUGCUCUGAAGGAGACCUGUUUAUGCACUGCUAUAGAUCAGAAAUGCUAUGCUUCUUCCAGCCCGUUACAGCCAAAGAGCUAUGGAUUUUCCAUGUAGCUGACUCAUAAGAGCCUUACAAUUAUU